CAAAAAAUAGUUGACGAGACAUAAUUGGGAAAAGUGUUGAUCGGAGUGACGCUGCAGUAGAGGUGGUCAUGAUGUGUUUAUAAAUAGUCCCGACGGUUACAUAACGAGCAGAUAUCAUUCCAUAAGACGAUAUUCAAAGCUUGUAUUCCAUAUGUGGAGAGGGGGAUUACUGCAAUCUGUUCCCUAGAUACAUGCAUAAAAGUGUAAUUGAGUGAAGCUACACAUACGUGCCCAUACCGAUAAGUAUUACCACUUCGGAAUAGUCGGCUGAAGUCCAAGUCCGUCAUAUAGUAGAACAAGAACAAUCAUUGACUCAGUUGAUCAGUUUUAUCCCUAGGGAAUAGAUUGUCCAUAAACUUCCCUCCACAAAAUGUGGAUUAAACUCCUCUUCGGACUCCUAUUGGCCUAUGGGGUGGCAAAAUAUUUCUGUAGUAACUGUGGCCAAGAACUCAAAGCACCAGUCGUUCCAAACGACCAAUGGUGGGGACCUGGACAACCGCGAAAAGUUGACGAGAGCAUCCGCCCAUUUAAAAUCAACGUACCAAAAGAGGUGAUAGACGACCUGAAAUCCCGACUGGAAAAGACAAGAACCCUCGUCAAACCGUUGGAAGGUGCCGCAUGGACUUACGGCAUAGGCACCGAUUACCUGCAGACCGUUCUCGACUAUUGGAGAACAAAAUAUGACUGGAACAAGCGGCAGUCCCUCCUCAAUCGGUACCCGCAAUUCAAAACAAACAUCCAAGGUCUGGACAUCCACUUCUAUCACGUCAAACCAACGAUUCCGAAGGAUCGAUCGGUCAGGGUUCUUCCCAUGCUGGUGGUCCAUGGAUGGCCCGGGUCCAUCGUUGAAUUCCAGAAGAUCAUCCCUCUCCUGACCACCCCGAGACCGGAUCGCGAUUUUGUCUUUGAACUGAUCAUCCCGUCUCUUCCGGGAUACGGUUUCUCCGAUGCUGCGGUGCGUCCUGGGCUCGGUAACACGCAGAUGUCGGUGAUACUGAAAAACUUAAUGGACAGAGUUGGGUUUAAAAAAUUCUACACGCAAGGCGGUGAUUGGGGUAGCAUGAUAACCGCCAACUUAGGAGUGCUCUAUCCUUCAAGCGUUGAAGGACUACAUCUCAUAUGCCUGGAUCCGUCGCCUUGGAGUCAAGUGUGGGUCUGGUUAGGAUCCUACUUUCCAUCUUUGAUCGUCGAGGAGAAAUAUGCUUCCAGAAUUUACCCGUUGAGCCACCACUGGUCACGGAUACUCGAAGAGUCCGGUUAUCUUCACAUCCAGGCGACAAAGCCAGACACCGUUGGUGUCGGUCUGACCGAUUCACCAGCCGGUCUCGCUGCUUACAUUCUUGAAAAAUUCAGCACCUGGACGAAUCCCGAGUACAGAUUCAGCCAGGAUGGUAAAUUGCUGGAGAAAUUUACGCUCGAUGAACUUCUGGAUAACGUGAUGGUCUAUUGGAUUACAAAUUCCAUCACAACAAGUGCUCGUCUGUACGCCGAGAAUUACACCACUGCGCACCGAGCAUUGAAGACCGACCUAGUUCCAAUUCACACGCCCGUAGCCUGUGCGGCGUUCCCCCACGAGCUCAUUUACAUGCCGGAGUGGAUUCUCAAGUCUAAGUACCGCAAUUUGAUUCAAAUGAAUCACCUUUCUCGUGGUGGUCACUUCGCAGCAUUCGAAGAACCGCAGCUUCUAGCCGACGAUGUUUGGACAUUUGUCGGUGUAGUUGAACGGAACAAGAAGGCAGCAAAAGUUGCCGAAUCAUCCGAACUAUAAUAAUUAUUAACAGGUAUUGCUUCUCGGAGAUAAACUUGCUUGAGGACCAACGAAACCUGAAAAUUAUCAAUAAUUCCGAGCAGAAAAAGGAAAAAUGAGAACGUCAUCAGAAGUUAUUCAAACUUGUAUCGCGUUCGUUUUUAUCCUUCUCACUCCGGCCGCAGAGGCGCGGUCGACGCACGACGUUUGAAUCGGAAUCCUAAGACUUAUAAGAACCUUCCAUGGAAAACUUUCAAUCCGUAGUAGGAUUGACCGAAGAUUCUUCAGUCAAUGGUGUAGUGUCAGCACCACCACAGAGUUUGUACAACACACGAUAUCUCUACUGUGUACCGGCUUUCCACGCCAUCGAGGUCGAACGAGUUUCGUCGGUUUUCUCUUCUUUUUUCAUAGUUGCGCGCGACGGCCCGCGAGGCACUAUGUGACAGUUGCGUUCUUUGUAUUAAUUUCAAAAAACAAUUACAAAAACUCUUCGAACAAUUGCAAAGUGAAAGCGAUUAUCUUUUUCCAACAGUGUUCGCUUUCUGUGCCACCAAAACUGGUAGAAUGGUAAUUUGAUGAAAAUUCAUUUCGACGAUUCAAAUAUACAAAACAUCAUCGCAUCGGGACGCGCACGUGUCUUCUCACAAACUCAGCGCGGUCAUCCGCAAUUGUUUUGUGUACGGAAUCGCGACAUAGUACGUGACAUUGCAUUGUAGUAUAGCGCAUAGCUGCGCUGAUCUUGUAAUUCUAAUUAUGUUGAAAUGAUUAUAUUGCAAUAGAUAUAAUUAUGUAUCUUUUACAAGUGUAAAUUUAUAAUGACAUAACGCGAGAGUAUAAAUAAAUUAUGAAGGAUACGAUCACAACGUUCGCCAAUGUUUACAGCUGGAACAUCGAUGAAAUAACGGGUAUACCUCGAAAAGCUGAGCGCCAAAAAAAAAUGAAUCAACAUUCAAUCCUCAAAUCACUUCAUUCAUUCAUGUAUGAGUAUACAUAUACGAUCAUGAUUACCUCGUCAUUUAUGAAUCAAGGUGUGUAUGUAUGUAAUCUUUGUGGAACAGACGUCAUACUUGUUUCCCAGAUUCAUGUAUGGAAGUGUAGAUGUGUAAAGCUACACAUACGUACCUAUUCCGAUAAGUAUUACCACUUCAGAAUAGUCGGCUGGAGUCGAAGUCCAUCAUAUAGAAAGGGAAUAAUCUUCGGCUCAGUUGUUCGGUUUGAUUCACAAGGAAUAGAUUACCCAUAAACUUCCUUCCGUAAUAUGUGGAUUAAACUUCUCUUCGGACUUCUAUUGGCCUAUGGGGUGGCAAAAUAUUUCUGGGCGUGACAAAAUGCUCGACCAUUACUCCACGGGGUGCUGCUCUCGUUUGGAGUCGGUGUGGAUCUAAAUGAAAACAUGUCACCUCGAAUAUACAUUGACCUUGUUGAAUCUUCGGGACGAAUUGUUUUUCUUUUUCUCAACAUAUCUAUUCCGAAUCAGGAGGAACAAAAGUCUUGGAAGUGCGAUGGGUCGGAUAUUUUUCCUUUGUAUCCAAAAUGAAAUCGUGGAGUCAACAAAAACAAUUAAAUAAAGCUUUAUUCCCUACCCACGGUCGAUUUUCGCGACUGCAAGUUUUGGUAAAUCUUCGCUAGCAAUUGAAUUACCACCAGAGAUGAAAUUGUCUGCUGAAGUGGGGGUAAUCUGUUUGAAUCAUUGAUACUAUUCUCAGUUGUAACUGUGGCCAAGAAGUCAAAGCACCAGUCGUUCCAAACGACCAAUGGUGGGGACCUGGACAACCGCGAAAAGUUGACGAGAGCAUCCGCCCGUUCAAAAUCGACGUACCAAAAGA